UUACAUCUGCAGUUUCAAGGAAAGAAGAAGCUCUAUCUUCUGCAUUUGUUGAAAUUGACCGUCUGAAGGAAGAAAAUUCUGUAAAAAUGUGACCAUUAUUAAAUGCAUAUGGAGGGGCACGCCUUAGUUAUAAUUCUUAUGAUAGGUUGAGCAAAGUGAAGUAUUGUUUAUUUAGAAAUGUGAAUGUAGGAUGCAUUGUAUGAUUUGAUUGCUAUUUGUAAUAAACGCAUCAUUUUUUUU